GACAGAGGAUGCAAGUGUUAUCCGGAAUGAUUGUGCGUAAAGCGUCUGUAGGUGGCUUUUCAAGUCCGCCGUCAAAUCCCAGGGCUCAACCCUGUACAGGCGGUGGAAACUGCCAAGCUGGAGUACGGUAGGGGCAGAGGGAAUUUCCGGUGGAGCGGUGAAAUGCAUUGAGAUCGGAAAGAACACCAACGGCGAAAGCACUCUGCUGGGCCGACACUGACACUGAGAGACGAAAGCUAGGGGAGCAAAUGGG
rnacentral:rRNA from 1 species